GUGUCAGCCGCCGCGGUAAUACAGAGGGUGCGAGCGUUGUCCGGAAUCACUGGGCGUAAAGGGCGCGUAGGCGGUUUUGUAAGUCGGGGGUGAAAUGCUGCGGCUCAACCGCAGCGCUGCCUUCGAGACUGCAAGACUGGAGCACGGUAGAGGCGGAUGGAAUUCCCGGUGUAGCGGUGGAAUGCGUAGAGAUCGGGAAGAACACCAAUGGCGAAGGCAGUCCGCUGGGCCGUUGCUGACGCUGAGGCGCGACAGCGUGGGGAGCAAACAGGAUUAGAAACCCGCGUAGUCC
rnacentral:rRNA from 1 species